rnacentral:rRNA from 1 species
AACUGGGAUUAGAUACCCCACUAUGCUUAGCCUUAAACCUAAAUAAUUUCCUAACAAAAUUAUUCGCCAGAGAACUACAAGCCAGAGCUUAAAACUCAAAGGACUUGGCGGUGCUUUAUACCCGCCUAGAGGAGCCUGU